rnacentral:rRNA from 1 species
GGCCCUUAUGUCCAGGGCUACACACGUGUUACAAUGGCCGGUACAGAGGGCAGCUACCUGGAGACAGGAUGCGAAUCUCGAAAGCCGGUCUCAGUUCGGAUCGGAGUCUGCAACUCGACUCCGUGAAGCUGGAUUCGCUAGUAAUCGCGCAUCAGCCAUGGCGCGGUGAAUACCGGUUCCCGGGCCUU